UCAAAACUAAAAUAAUCAAUAAAAAUAAAAUCAAAAAGGAAAAAGGAAAAUCAUAAUGGAAAAAGUAAAGUAAAAUAAAAAUAAAAAAAAAACAACAAAAAGAAAUUAACAUAAAAGAGAAUAAUAGAAAGUAAAAUAAAAACUAUAAAUUAAAAUGCAAAUAAAAUGAAAAAUAAAAAAUAAAAAAAAUGAAAAUAAAAUAAGACAAAAACAAAAAUUAAGUCCUAUUAUUCAAUCACCCGGACGAAAUUGGGUGUUGACAAUUUCAUAUUUACCCCCACGAUGAAACACGACUUCAAUGUCUGAGUUGACCAUCUAAACUAAUAAAAAAAUUGUUCAUAUUUAAUCUAUGCUUAACCUAAAUGUUAUAUGCCCAAAAACCAAAAUACUAUUAUGGGGAACCAUAAACACACCACUUAACAAACCAUAAACAAGUUAUAUAAAGCAAAAGCACAAUUAGGAGAAUAAACAAAUCAUUUCACACACCAUCAAGGGGGACCACAACCACAUUGUCAAAAGACAAACAAAGCAAAAGCAAAAAUAGUGGGGGACAAUAAACAGACAAACCAUACAGAAAUCAAAACUUAUGGGGAAACAUAACGAAAGAAACCAAACAGAAAAUGAAAGCUACCAUAAACACACCUUCAAGUGGCGCUUUUUGAAAUACCCACCAACACGAUCUCUGGAAAUGCGUGUCCAAAUCCACCCUACAACGAUCUCUAUAAGAUCUCUAUGUUCGUAAUCUAGGUGAAGUGCGAUAAUGAUUCUCUCUUCUCUGGCACAAAUGAAAAUGCCCAAAUCUCACACAAAUCAAAAUGCCCUAAAUCAAUUUUUCCCCAAUUAAAAGAACCGUAUCUUUAAUAUCCACCUCAAUCUGUAAUUAAAUAACACGUCAUGAGCACACACAGAACUAAAUAAUGACACGUUACCACUAACUGCUGCUAAAUCAUCAACCCAUUAACUCUGUUUGUUUCUAUUUAAUGGAAGGGACGAUUUUGACGCAAAAUUUAAUAAGUUAGGACAAAUUUCAAGCACUUUUAAAAGGAGGGACUGAAUUGACAUUAUUCAACAAAACUAGGGACAUAAUAGGCUAAUAAGCCUUCUUUUUAUAGACAUGUUGUUAAUUAGUCUUAUUCAAGACAAAAUCAUAUUUAUUUAUUUAGAUAACUCAGAGAAUUUAUUGAAUGUAUAAAUGGUUUGUGAUCACUUUUUAAGAAUGGUACAAAGAGAGAGAAGCAUAAUACGAAAAGAGAAAAGAGCUUCUGGGAGCAUCCAUCGUCGCAGAGAAGAAGCGGACGCACAUGGAGCGGAUGCACGUGGGAGAAGAACGCACAAAUGCAGGUUAGAAAAACAAGAUCGUUUCUUUACUCUGCAGUAUUUUCAGUGUGUUGUUACAAUCAAUGGGAAAGGGAAAAAGGGGAAACCCUAUUUAUAGAGUUCACACGAUAGAAAGGGGGAAAGAUAAUAGGAACCCUAACAGAGUAGAAAUCUGUUAAAAUACAGAUUGGUUACUGUUGGUGCAGUAAUCUUAACAGAUUAACCGAUUCUAACCAACUCAAUAGCCCCCGCUCAAGCUAAAUGUUGUAUACUCACUAAUCCGAGCUUGGGGAUGAUAGAUCGGAACCUAACCCGAUGAGGGAACUUAGUAAAAGCAUCAGCU
rnacentral:lncRNA from 1 species